AGGGGGCGCUGGGCCCUCGCCCGGCUCGGCCGGAUCCCCGCGGUCGCGCGGGGACUAGGACUCUGCGGGUUCCUUUUGUGAACGGAGGGAAGGGCCCUCCGCCCUCUGAAAAUGGUCAGCCCGGGUUCUCGGGACUGCGUGCCCCGAAUAAUAGAUUGUGUUCUGUCGGGUCGCCCUCUGGGCCCCACCCUGCGGAGCUUGGAGCUGGUUCAGCUUCUCCGUUGGGUGGGUCUGUUGGGGGUUCCCCAAAGCAUCACCGUGAGCGGCGGCGUCAGGAUCACCAGGGGCCCACCCCGUCGCCUGAAUCGGAAUCUCUGGGAGGGGCCCAGGAAUCUGUAUUUUUGGGACCCAGGCACGUGCAAGUGGCCUCGUAAGUUCUCUCUAGGCUGAGAGGAGCUGGAAGCCUCCACCAAGGAUAAGCUGCUUUGAGGAUCUAGUAAGGGAUCUUGUGUACAUGAUGGAGCCUCCUGGGAUUGGCUCGUUAAGGAGUCGGUGUUCACUGUAGAAACUGGAAGAUACAGAAGAGGAUGAAGAAGAAGUAAAAAUCACCCAAUAGCCAGAACUCCGAUGACCACUGCUACUGUUCUGGAAUUCAGGGGUGGGGUGCAAACUCAAGGCCCUGGGCCAUUCUCAUCUUGCAAUUUCAUGUUGCCUCAGCAUUUGGACACUGAGUUAAACUGCCUUUAGGUGGAGUAUAUCUCGCUGACCACAGGCCCCACAGCCGUGUUACAUAUUUCUCCUGCUGUACCUGCCAGUUCCCUGAAGACAUUUGAAUUUACAACCCAGGGCGCUCUUCUCUAGAAAUAUUGUUUUAAAAAACAAAAUUGGGAUAUUUGGGCAUAGACAACUUUAUGUCCUGCUUCCCCCCCGCCCUUUUUUUUAAUAGCUUCACCUGUGGCCUGUGGCAGUUC